CCUACGGGAGGCAGCAGUGGGGAAUAUUGGACAAUGGGCGAAAGCCUGAUCCAGCAAUGCCGCGUGAGUGAUGAAGGCCUUAGGGUUGUAAAGCUCUUUUACCCGGGAUGAUAAUGACAGUACCGGGAGAAUAAGCCCCGGCUAACUCCGUGCCAGCAGCCGCGGUAAUACGGAGGGGGCUAGCGUUGUUCGGAAUUACUGGGCGUAAAGCGUGCGUAGGCGGUGAUUCAAGUCAGAGGUGAAAGCCUGGAGCUCAACUCCAGAACUGCCUUUGAAACUAGAUCGCUAGAAGAUGGGAGAGGUGAGUGGAAUUCCGAGUGUAGAGGUGAAAUUCGUAGAUAUUCGGAAGAACACCAGUGGCGAAGGCAGCUCACUGGACCAUUCUUGACGCUGAGGCACGAAAGCGUGGGGAGCAAACAGGAUUAGAUACCCUGGUAGUCCCACGCUAGUAACGAUAGAUAACUAGUUAGUCGUAGGUUACGUACAGUAACGUUUAGGUUGUACGCGAGACUAACGACAUUAAGUUAGUCCGUCCGUCGGGUAGGUACGGUCGCGAGAAGUUAAACGUUAAAGUAAAGUUAGUUACGGUCGUUGUUAGACGUUGCCGACGGACGACGACGAGGGAGGUUAGG
rnacentral:rRNA from 1 species